AACUGAUACUACCUGCGGGAACCUGCGGAAGGAUCAUUAUAGAGUUUUUAACUCCCAAACCCAUGUGAACUUACCUUUGUUGCCUCGGCGGAGCCUACCCGGUACCUACCCUGUAGCGCCCCGCCGGUGGACUUCUAAACUAUUGUUAUUUUAAUGAUAUCUGAGAGUCUUAUUUUAAUAAGUCAAAACUUUCAACAAUGGAUCUCU
rnacentral:misc_RNA from 1 species